rnacentral:lncRNA from 1 species
UUUUUUUUUUUUUUUUGUUUUUUUUUUUAUUUGGUGAAAACAGUCGCGGGGAUAUCGUUUCUUUUCUUUUUAUUUGUUUUUAGGCAGCAAACCCCGUAAAAACUGACAUAUUUGUCAUUCACAUGGUCGGUAAAUUCAUUUCCUUGACAAUUAAGUACACAUCUGGUUAUUUCGGUAUGUUCCGUAAUUCAGUACGAUGAUUCACGAGGUUCCAAAAAUUUGAUCGGAACCCAUGCAUCCA